rnacentral:rRNA from 1 species
AUUGAACGCUGGCGGCAGGCCUAACACAUGCAAGUCGAGCGGAGCGGCGGACGGGGAAGUAAUGCCUAGGAAUCGGCAUGGUAGUGAGGGAUAAGGUCCGGAACGGGGCGCUAAUGCCGCAUCCUAUCACAUUAGCCUAGGUCGGAUUAGCUAGUUGGUGGGGUAAAGGCCUACCAAGGCGACGAUCCGUAACUGGUCUGAGAGGAUGAUCAGUCACACUGGAACUGAGACACGGCCCAGACUCCUACGGGAGGCAGCAGUGGGGAAUAUUGGGCAAUGGGCGAAAGCCUGAUGCAGCCAUGCCGCGUGUGUGAAGAAGGUCUUCGGAUUGUAAAGCACUUUCAGUGGGGAGGCGUUACCCGCAGAAGAAGCACCGGCUAACUCCGUGCCAGCAGCCGCGGUAAUAC